UAGGGAAUCUUCCACAAUGGACGCAAGUCUGAUGGAGCAACGCCGCGUGAGUGAAGAAGGUUUUCGGAUCGUAAAGCUCUGUUGUUGGUGAAGAAGGAUAGAGGUGGUAACUGGCCUUUAUUUGACGGUAAUCAACCAGAAAGUCACGGCUAACUACGUGCCAGCAGCCGCGGUAAUACGUAGGUGGCAAGCGUUGUCCGGAUUUAUUGGGCGUAAAGCGAGUGCAGGCGGUUCAAUAAGUCUGAUGUGAAAGCCUUCGGCUCAACCGGAGAAUUGCAUCAGAAACUGUUGAACUUGAGUGCAGAAGAGGAGAGUGGAACUCCAUGUGUAGCGGUGGAAUGCGUAGAUAUAUGGAAGAACACCAGUGGCGAAGGCGGCUCUCUGGUCUGCAACUGACGCUGAGGCUCGAA
rnacentral:rRNA from 1 species